UACCUUUGCAGAGAGUGUCUUAGUGCUGGGCAAGUGAGCACUUGCUUGGUGUGCACAAGGCCGUGGGUUCUCUCCCAGCACUGAAGGAGAGAAGGCUGCUGAUCCAGCUCAGUUGCUAGUGUUCCUUAGCUUGCUCAAAGCCCUGGAUCGAAUCCCCAGUGGCCCUUAAACAGGACAUGGUGGCACACAUCUAUAAUCCUACCCAAGUGCUGAGGUUACAGGCAUGGAGCAGCACACCAGGCUUAUGAUUAUCGUGCCAACCUGGGGAGGAGCUUCCUACUCCGGAGCCACUCCCGGGGAGUCAGUACUGUAGAUGUGACCAAAUGCAAAUAUGUGUGAAGUCAUGGCGUCGCCAUCCUCAAGACACAGAGGAGACAGAGGCCUCACACAUACCGGGCAAGAUCUACCCUACCAAGCCACACCCCUAGUCUUCAUAUUCACUUUUUAUGCUUUGUCCAACCCACUCCAAG